AGUCUAGGCCAUGCCACCCUGAACGUGCUGGAUCUCGUCUGAUCUCAGAAGCUAAGCAGGGUUGGGCCUGGUUAGUACUUCAAUGGAAAAGAUUUUAAAUGAUUUUGAUUC
rnacentral:rRNA from 1 species